AUCAUCAGAGAAUCUUGUUAAAACGCAAAUUCUGAUUCAGUCUCUCUGAUCAAGUUGGGACCCGAGAUUCUGCAUUUGUAACAAGCUCCCAAAUGACUCUCA
rnacentral:pre_miRNA from 1 species